rnacentral:tRNA from 1 species
GCCCCUGUAGCUCAAGUGGAGAGCACCGGCCCUGUACGCCGGUGAUGGAGGUGAAACCCCUCCCGGGGGCUCCA